AAUAGUUUUUUAAUUGAAAACUGGGAUGAAUGAAGUGAUGAAACUUAUACUGUUUUAGAUGGGGUAAUUAAAUUUAUUUGUUAAGUAAAAAGGCUUAAAUGAAAAUAUGGGACGAGAAGACCCUAUAGAAUUUUAUAUAAAUUUAUUAUAGAGUAUAUUUAUGAAAAAUUUAAUAAAGUUAUCUUUUAUUGGGAGGAUAGAUAAAUUAAGAAAACUUUAAUUUUGUAGAAACAUUAAUUUAUGAUACGUAAAUGAGUGGCUUAGAAGUUUAAGGAGAAUUAAUUACCUUAGGGAUAACAGCAUUAUAUCUUUAGAGAGAUCUUAUUAAUAAAGAUGUUUGU
rnacentral:rRNA from 1 species